rnacentral:lncRNA from 10 species
AUACAAUGGGUUGAUCUGUAGAAUGGAGUGAGCUGGACAAUGGGGCUACUCACCCCACCCACCUUGCAAAGUGAUGCAGGACAGGAAAUGGGUUAAUAGAAGCUCGGAUUUAGAAGAGUGCCUGGCACGCCUAAGGUGUCCAUCAGAAGGCCCCUGCUGAGUAGUUGGCAGGGUGGCUGCACAUAAUGGAAAGCACAUAAGCUUGAAGCCAGACAGAUGGGAGUUCUAACCCCAGCCCUGCCACUUAUUCCCAGGUGACACUGAUUAUGAACAAAGCUACUGGAAAUGUCUGAGUGGAAGUUUUUGUGUGGAUGUAAGUUUUCGGCUCCUUUGGAUAAAUACCAAGGAGCAUGCUUGC